rnacentral:lncRNA from 1 species
GUAAAACAACGUAACUUAUAAUUUGGAACAUUUUUUUUCUUCCUAAAUUGACUUAUAAUUUGGAACGGUAGAUGUGCUUAAUAAUUCUCAUUGUGCUUAGUAUUGCACAAGUUAAUAUACACACGCACACAUAUAUAUUGAUCUAUCCGGGAACAUAGCUUAUGGAUGACACAAUUGUGGUUCUCAUGCUGCGGUGAAACGGUGCGGCGGAGGAGGAACUCCGGUGCGGUUGAGGAUUGCUUCUACCUGCAAAACAGACAAUCGCUCCGAUGUCCAAGUCAGUAUUUGUCAAGAGAGAGAAGUGUAAAAGUGUGCUUCUGAGAUCGUACCUGGGCGUGGUAGAGAUGCCAUACUUGUAUAGAUUGUUUGGUUGCAACUGUUUUUGUGUAAACCGACUUGUUGCGGAAUAUAGUUGAAUGAGUACAAGUUAACGACCAAGAUCGUCUUCAGGCAGUGUUCCUGUGCGGUAAGACGCGCGGGUUACCUUGUGUAAGCAUCUUUUGAGCCGGUGUGUCCAUUAGUUGGGCUUUUGUUAAUGGGUCGUUGUU